CCAGAAGCAGUGCUCAGGAAACAUUCUGCUCUGCCAAAACCUUUCUAGCUCUGGCAGGUUGUGAAGCGUAAGGUCUUAAAAUAAGUCUGAGAGUACCAGCGCUGCUUCAAAAAGCAGGUCCUGUUUCCACAUUCAAGAGGAGCAACAAAAGGCUAAAGGAUCUCCUGAACAUGUGAAGAGCAGUCGUUUUCCAAGGUACUCAGCCAAUCAGCUGUAGAGUCAUGACGUCUGGAUGGAAUAUUUGUCCCUUGUUCAGUGACCAGCAUGGACCAUCUGGAAGCCUGAUUGGAAGCUGUGCUGACAUGCAGGAAGUCCAUCACCCAGAACUGCCUCCGCCUGCAGAGAGUUAUGCGUCUGAGAUUAUCUUCAUGGAUCCCUCCAAGAGAUGCUAUUUGAGCUUCACAUCCCUGGAUUUCCAUAUGUGGGAGGAGAUGCAGCAGCAGAUGGAGCAUAUUUUAGGGAGGUG